rnacentral:piRNA from 1 species
UUUCUGAUAGAAGAUGCCAUGUCUCACCUGU